GGGAAAGAAAAAGAAAGAAGAGAAAGGAGAAGAGGAAAUUGAUAGAAAAAUAAGGAUAAGGUGAAGAAAGAGGAAGAUUGAUAAAGAAAAAACAGCAUCAAUUUUGGGUCUACCCAAAUUUAUUUUAUGUCAGGUAUGACAGAUUUUCAGUUGCUUUGCUUCCAUAAUAUUUCACUUCAGGUAUGACAGAUGUUAGUUGGUCUACCUGUGCAGUAUUUUAUGAUAGGUAUGACAAAUUUUUAAUUGCUCUGCCUGUGUAGUAUUUUACCCCAGACAUGACAGAUUUCAAUUGCUCUAUCCAAGCAAAACUCAGCAUGUUAGAUAUGACAGUUCUUUCUCGCUCUAUUCGUGUUGGGGACAUCCACUGGGUAUGAUAGAUUUCUCCUUGAGAAUAUUAGUAGUGAUGUACAACUUAAGUUAUUGUAUUGGCGAAAGGUUCAUAAAUAAAUAAAGAAAAUAAAAAUAUGAGUUAUUGACAAUCAAAUCUUCUUUUUAAAGAUGAUAUUUUCUAAGCAUAAUUUUAUCACUCAUGCAAUGUGUGUUCCUUUAAAUUUAUUCAGAAUAUUGAG